rnacentral:rRNA from 1 species
CAGUAGCCGCGGUAAUACGGAGGGUGCAAGCGUUAAUCGGAAUUACUGGGCGUAAAGCGUGCGUAGGCGGUUCGUUAAGUCUGUUGUGAAAGCCCCGGGCUCAACCUGGGAAUGGCAAUGGAUACUGGCGAGCUAGAGUGUGUCAGAGGACGGUGGAAUUCCCGGUGUAGCGGUGAAAUGCGUAGAGAUCGGGAGGAACAUCAGUGGCGAAGGCGGCCAUCUGGGACAACACUGACGCUGAGGCACGAAAGCGUGGGGAGCAAACAGGAUUAGAUACCCCUGUAGUCCCUGUCUCUUAUAC